AGCUUAUAGAAAUUAUUUUAAGUAACGCCUGCCCAGUGCAAAGUUGUAAAUGGCCGCAGUACUCUGACUGUGCUAAGGUAGCAUAAUCAGUUGGCUUUUAAAUGGAGUCGGGAAUGAAAGGAUUUAUAGGGCUUAGCUGUCUCUAAGGUAUUUAAUUGAAUUUAUUAAAAAGGUGAAAAUCCCUUAAUUUAGAAAAAAGACGAGAAGACCCUUGGAGUUUUCACCUACUUAUACUAUUAUAAAAAGGUUUUUGUUGGGGCGACAUAGGAAAAUAUUUUUUAAAAACUUCCUAAUUUAAUAUACCGACUUGUUGUAUACUAAACUAAACUACCCGAGGGAUAACAGCGUAAUUCUUUUGAGCUUGCGACCUCGAUGUUGGACUAGGAAUUAAUUAGGCUAGCCGCUUAUUUUUAUUGUUCUGUUCGAACUUAAUUUCC
rnacentral:rRNA from 1 species